GGCCUCGUAGCACAGUUGGCUAGAGCGUUGGCUGUACUAAAGGCUUCCCCUUGCUGGCGUGGGUUCAAAUCCCACCGAGGCCU
rfam:Schistocephalus solidus strain NST_G2 genome assembly, scaffold: SSLN_scaffold0001615